rnacentral:rRNA from 1 species
UGCUCAGGACGAACGCUGGCGGCGUGCUUAACACAUGCAAGUCGAACGAUGAAAGAGGGAGCUUGCUUUCUCUGGAUUAGUGGCGAACGGGUGAGUAACACGUGAGCAAUCUGCCCUUGACUCUGGGAUAAGCGUUGGAAACGACGUCUAAUACCGGAUACGAACUUCAGCCGCAUGGCUAGGGGUUGGAAAGAAUUUCGGUCAAGGAUGAGCUCGCGGCCUAUCAGCUUGUUGGUGAGGUAAUGGCUCACCAAGGCGACGACGGGUAGCCGGCCUGAGAGGGUGACCGGCCACACUGGGACUGAGACACGGCCCAGACUCCUACGGGAGGCAGCAGUGGGGAAUAUUGCACAAUGGGCGCAAGCCUGAUGCAGCAACGCCGCGUGAGGGACGACGGCCUUCGGGUUGUAAACCUCUUUUAGCAGGGAAGAAGCGCAAGUGACGGUACCUGCAGAAAAAGCACCGGCUAACUACGUGCCAGCAGCCGCGGUAAUACGUAGGGUGCAAGCGUUGUCCGGAAUUAUUGGGCGUAAAGAGCUCGUAGGCGGUUUGUCGCGUCUGCUGUGAAAUCCCGAGGCUCAACCUCGGGCCUGCAGUGGGUACGGGCAGACUAGAGUGCGGUAGGGGAGAUUGGAAUUCCUGGUGUAGCGGUGGAAUGCGCAGAUAUCAGGAGGAACACCGAUGGCGAAGGCAGAUCUCUGGGCCGUAACUGACGCUGAGGAGCGAAAGCGUGGGGAGCGAACAGGAUUAGAUACCCUGGUAGUCCACGCCGUAAACGUUGGGAACUAGAUGUGGGGACCAUUCCACGGUCUCCGUGUCGCAGCUAACGCAUAA